rnacentral:rRNA from 1 species
UACGUAGGUGGCAAGCGUUGUCCGGAAUUAUUGGGCGUAAAGCGCGCGCAGGCGGUCCUUUAAGUCUGAUAUGAAAGCCCACGGCUCAACCGUGGAGGGUCAUUGGAAACUGGAGGACUUGAGUACAGAAGAGGAAAGCGGAAUUCCACGUGUAGCGGUGAAAUGCGUAGAGAUGUGGAGGAACACCAGUGGCGAAGGCGGCUUUCUGGUCUGUAACUGACGCUGAGGCGCGAAAGCGUGGGGAGCAAACAGG